AGAUUUGAAGAUGAAGACUGAACUAGAGAUUUGGAGACGGGUAUAAGAUUCCUUAAAGCAAUCGGGAGAUAGGGGCUGCGCCGUUGUUCAAUUGUUCUUGGCAAGAGAAGACUUUAUUGCCUGAAGCCUGUAAUUGAUUUUUCUACACGCGGAGCCAGAGACUUCGAAAUUUUGAAAACUGUUCCUGGCGUUGGAUUACCAAAAUUUACUUUUACUUUUACUAUAUACCAAAGUUUCUUCUUUCUUCUUCGGCCAUCGGAUUCUUCUCUCUUCUGUUGGUUUCUCUCUUCCUCCCUUCUGCCCGCCCCUAGGUUCAUCAAGCUAUCGCCAUCGAAGAAGUACAGCAACACUGCAACCACACAUUUUCGCAGCAGGAGAUAGUUUCUCUGUACGAGAGGUUCUGUCAGCUCGAUCGCAGCGGUGGAGGUUUCAUCUUCGCCGACGAGUUUUCUGUCCGUACCGGAAUUCGCAGUCAAUCCUCUCUCUCAGUUUUGGCUGGGUGGACGUAGAUACGGGGGGAGAGGGAUUGGAGCAAGACCUUAUAAGCAAGAUCUUCACUUCUUUUUCGUUUCCAGGACCCUCUAUCAAUAUAUAUCAGCACUUCUGUUCGCCGACAUCAGAAACAUCCAUCAACAUCAAUACCUAUCACGGCCUGCUCCCAAACUGAGAGAGGAAGAUUUGACUAAAAUCAAAUAGUAAAGGAACUUACUGAUUCGGCGAAGCACAAGAGAACGGCUUUGAGUCUGAGUUUAUUUGAGGGUCUUUACUUACAGAGGUUGCUCUCUAGUAGAAGGGACUGUGGUGUUCUGAUUUCUGCUUUUGAUGGAUUUGGCGAGAGUGAGGAUCGCAGACUCCACCCCUGUAACUAUAUCUAAGACGGUCCAACUCUCAUAUACGAAGCUUAUUAAAGGGUGGCUUAACUACUACACGAUGUUGAGAAAUUUGAUUCAUUAAGGGGGUUCAAAAUCUCUACUUAUGUUUACUGGUGGAUACGUCAGGGUGUUUCAAGAGCACUGGUUGAAAAUUCCAGAACCUUACUACUGCCUACACAUUUGCAUGAGAGGUUAGGUUAAUCAAAAAUGCAAAAGUUAGAUUGGAAGAGACGAAUAACUCCAUCUAUCGAUAGGAUUGCAGAAAGCCUGAAUAUGUCCAAAAAGAAAGUUAGGAAGUUACUCAGAACGAAUUACAGCGUCAAGCACGAACCACACUUGCAUCAUGAUAAAUCCACGCAUUCCACAGGCGCAACAAUAUAAAACUGAGUAUCAAGUGCUUGACAAACCAAGAGAGGCCAACACCUUAUGAAAUGAAUAUCUAAAAGCAUCAAAAGUGCGUUCUACCUGCAACCAGUUUUUAUAAAAUUCUUCAAUGUAGACCCUCUUUUGAGUCUCUUUAGCUGGAGAUCCAAACACAAGACACAACUAAAGAAUAGUUUAUCCCUUCCUUGACUCAAAAAAUGGGACAGUGCCUUGGUUGUAUCUGAGCAGACCAGUCUACUAUUGCAAUCAGAAAAACUUUUGGAAAGUUUGAUGAUGUGCUUGAAUCUGGUUGUCAUUGUUUGCCUUGCUGUUGAGGGGCGAACCAUAAUCUGCAUCAAUGUUCAAUCAAAUUGGUGGAACUUCAGAAUAAGAACAAGACACAAAACCUGUUUACUGAGCCUUCACCUACACUAUCGACACAGAUAGAGAGAGCCUCAUCUUUUGGGUUUCGGUUAUUUGCUCGACACAGAGAGAGAUGGAGCGAAGUAAACAGAGGAAGAAAGGAGAGAAGAAGAGGCCAUCCCUUCAAAAUGUCCAUCGUUAGGGUGGAGUUUGGCAUUGGAGGCUUAAUCGUGGACACCAAGGUGUUUUAUUGGCCAAGAAAGUGUGCUUAGCUUUGCUAUUUGAAGAAGAUGAAUGGGAAAAUGAGCUCUUCUUCAGCUUCAGAAGAAAGACGAGAUUGAAAAGAAGAGAGGGGCCUUACCAAAAUUAGGGGUUUAAGACAGAGCGAGCAAGCAAGCACCCUGAUCACACUGACUGGGGAUCUCACUCAUUGAUAUGGCCAUUACUUAAGGUCUCCAUUGUUCUCACGUGUCAUGACUCAGUAGCUGACCCUGCAGCACUCAAAUCAAAUUGCCUAAUUGUACAGCUGAUUUUAUGGACACAGCAAUAACUUACAAGGAUAUGGAGACAGAAAGGGUUGAACACUGACAAAUAUGAUGGGCUUCAUUGAUUUUCUUAAAGCUGCAAUCCAUGAAAUCUCUCUCUACUUGCUCAAUUGUAAUAUGAUCUACAUCAUAUUUUUAUGUAUACAAGCUAUGCUCUCAGUUUUAGGUCCAAGCAACUAAUUGUUCCAUUAUGUAGUGGUUGAUUUUAGUUUAAUCUUGAAUUAUAUGUUUGCUCAAAAUUAUCAUCCUAAAAAAAAAAAAACCACACCAUCGCACGGGAGAAUUAGCUCCAAACCCCGCAGCAAAGCGCGGGCAAUAUUGCUAGUUCAAACAAGGCAGAGGCAGAGUGCAGUGGCUGUUUUCGAGUCGCCUUUUCUCAUUCUUUUAUUUGUAGAAUGAAAGGCCAAAGACAAUCUCUGCAGCAAAUUCCUUGCUAAAUUUUAAUUCGCUUGCAGGUGACAUUGGAACUUUGAUUCCAAAUUUUGUAUUUUCGCUUCAAAUGUUAUCCAAGAGGAAGCACAGACAAUGCUUUUGUUCA